AACAAGAAUUAAAAUUUCAAAGAAUGUUAGCCAAAAGCAAGGCAAUAGAGCUUACGCAAGCUGACAACUGGCCAAAACAGUUGUUGACUGGUCUCUCAGACUUUAAUAUACUACUAACCACCUGGAAAUAGUAUAAAUGUAAACUCAGAUACACUAGAUUUAAGGCAAGGUGAAAGAGUGGGUGAUGAGGUUAAAUUACCAAAUUGUAAGUAUUUUCAAAACUAUAAACUAUUUCAAAAUUCAAACUGCUGUGAGUAGACACAUUUCCAAAAAACUUGCCAAAAUAUCCGUUUCUUUUUCUUUUUUUUU